UCCCUGGUGGUCUUGUGGUUACGACUUAGUGCUCUUACCGCUGUGGCCUGGGUUCAAUUCCUUGUCAGGGAG
rnacentral:tRNA from 1 species